rnacentral:rRNA from 1 species
GACGAACGCUGGCGGCGUGCCUAACACAUGCAAGUCGAACGGAAAGGCCCGGCUUUUUUGGGGUGGUCGAGUGGCGAACGGGUGAGUAACACGUGAGUAACGUGCACUUGACCUUGGGAGAACCUCAGGAAACUGGAGCUAAUCCCGGAUAGGAGCUCCCGCUGCAUGGUGGGGGCUGGAAAGUUUCGGCGGUUGGGGAUGGAAUAGCGGCUUAUCGGCUUGUUGGUGGGGUAGUGGCUGACCAUGGCCUUGACGCGUAGCCGGCCUGGGAGGGUAACCGGCCACACUACGCCUGGAAUGCGGCACGGCCUCCACCGGGACGCAACGGUGGAGAAUGUUACACUAUAGGCUGGGGCCUGGUGUGACAACGCCACGUCGGGGAUGACAGCCUUCGGGUUGUGUUCCACUUUCGCCUUUGACGAGGCGUUAGUGACGGUACUGGGUGAAGAAGCACCGGCUAACUACGUG